GUUUGUCUCCCUUUGAUGACCUCACGCUCUGCGACUCUAUUCUCGUGUCUGUAGUCAAAGCCGGUGGUUCCAGCAGGUUGUCAGUUUGUGUCGCCGACUGAUGAUGUCAGUGUGAUGUCGUCUGGAGCCUGCGGCGCAAACCAUGUCCUGCACAGUGAUUUUUAAAGUCGGGGUGUGUCUGAGGACUCUGAGGCCCUCAGGGUUCCUCAGCAGGUCCCAGUGGACUUCAUGGCCGCGGUCUCACAUGCUACGACACAGUGGCACCAAACACGGCCCCGUCACACACGAAGCCAAGGAAGCGCAAGACGGUACCCAGUACAGAAGUGUCGUGUCAAGUCUCCAGCAAGCAUUUACCACCAGAUCAGUGUUCAGUGCUGGGACAGCCAAGAGGAAGGCAGCCAAGGUGAAGAGACUCUCUCUGGAGGACGAGGACCAGCAAGUCCCAAAAUCUAGCCUCAGAACAGCAGAGAAGAUGCAGCCUCCCGAGCGGGCGCUGUCCACCGCCGAGUGGAGUGAGCUGAAGGCAUCACUGAGCAAUCCAGAGCGAUUUGAAGUCCAGAUGAUGAUCACUCUCAUGAUCUCAGGAGCACAUCUCGAUAUCGCCAAGUCCCUGCUUAGUUUUGCUGCCAUGGAAGCGGGCAUGCUGUCCUAUGAGCUGUUGCUACGUUACCUGAUAGUGUGCGCCAACGGUGGCCACCACAAUGAGGUGUUGGAGCUCUACGACAUCAUGCGGUCAAAUUUCGCAUCUCUGGACACAACCGCCGCCAGAUUCUUCAUCAAGUCAUUCAGCUACACGGCGAGGUGGCGGGAGGCCAUCAGCAUCCUCCAUGAGACAAACAAAGUGCUCUGUUCAUCAGCGUACAGCUAUGAUGACAUCAUCAGAGCAGCGAUGCUGCACGGUGCUGUGACCACAGCCUGGACUCUGUAUGAGGAACUCCUGAAAAAGGACCUGAUCCCGGUCCAGGACACAUGGAAGAGCCUUUUUACUGGCACGGGGAAGACUCCGCAAGGGGAGGAGGCCAUGAGUGACGAGGAGCAACAGGACCGGCUCUUGAAGGUUCUGUUCUACAUGAGAGAGAACUACAUCUACCCUGAGCACAGCCUGGCCUGGGCCAUCAAGACCUGGUUUGAGAGUCUCUCGGGGCAGAAAUGGACCGGACGUUGGACCACCGCCACCCCAAAUGGACUGUGCACGUGCUGCGGCUCAUCGUUGGACUCCAUCCAGCUGACACCAGACGAGUAUGAAAAGCUCAAAGACCGAGUCAUGACUGACAUCAUCAAGGGGCAGGAUGUGUUCACCAAGACCACGCCACAGGAGUUAAACCACUUCACUGCGUUUAUGAAGUCAAAGCCCACGUUUGACGUGGUCAUAGAUGGACUGAACGUUGGAAACACCGCCGGCGUCGUAAGCCAACGCGCCUUUUCAGACGUGUUGCUGGCGGUGGUGUCGAAGCUGGAGAGCCAAGGUUUGAAUGUCCUGGUACUCGGCCGGAAGCACAUGUUGAGUUCGUCCUCAAACUGGAAGAAGCGCAACAUGAACCUGAUCCAGCAAAAAGCCCACUGCUUCUUCACUGACAACAUUUCAAAGGAUGACCCGUUCCUGCUCUAUGCCACACUGCAUUCUGGGAACCACUGCCUGUUUGUGAGUCGGGACCUGAUGAGGGACCACAAGGCCUGCCUUCCGGACUCCACCAGCAGGCAGCUCUUCUUCAAAUGGCAGAGAGGUCACCAGCUGGUCCUUGACGAAUACAGGUCCAAGGAUAUGAUCCGCUUCCAGAUGAUCCCGAGCUAUGACACCGUUGUGCAGACAUCUGGGUGCUCGUGGCACAUUCCCUAUGACAACAUGAAUGGGCGGAGCACCUACGAAGUGCCUGAGAAGUGGCUCUGCCUCACCAAACACUGACCUCAGGUUUCAGGAAGACGAGCUGCUCGACAAAUGGAUCAUACGUCAUCGUGUUGUUGAUUUUGUGGAGAUGAACUGAAUGCUAUGCUCAAAGCGUUCUACACUGAUGCCUCACAUCUACACCCCCAGCCAAGGCCAGGACCCAAGUCUGCAGGCCGGCUCCUGAGUCUCUGAACGACCUGCUCUGCUGUUGACAGACAACCAAAAAGAAAAAGAGGGGGAAAAAAAAAAAAGCUUCAUUUUCAGGAAAGUAUUUUCAAAUCUUAUGUGUAAAA